UACGUAGGGUGCGAGCGUUGUCCGGAAUUAUUGGGCGUAAAGGGCUCGUAGGCGGUUUGUCGCGUCGGGAGUGAAAACUCAGGGCUUAACCCCGGGCCUGCAGUGGGUACGGGCAGACUAGAGUGCGGUAGGGGAGACUGGAAUUCCUGGUGUAGCGGUGAAAUGCGCAGAUAUCAGGAGGAACACCGGUGGCGAAGGCGGGUCUCUGGGCCGUAACUGACGCUGAGGAGCGAAAGCGUGGGGAGCGAACAGG
rnacentral:rRNA from 1 species